AUUUUGUAAUUAUUGGGCCAAAAGCCCAUUUAUCUCGAUCACUAUUGUGUUAGUCUAGGACAGGUACCAAGUGUUGGGCCAAAGGUCUCAAAAAGCAUAAAUUAGGCCCAAGUGUUGGUCCGGGCGAACAGAAAACCAAACCUGGGCCUGAACCUUCUCUCCCUCUUUAUUUUAUUUGUUUUCAUAUUUGUCUAAUUGUUUAUUUGCUAGUUAAUUCUAA
rnacentral:lncRNA from 1 species